UGUGUGCAGUGACGGGGUAAAAGAGAAAUACUGCAUGUGUCUGAAAACGGAAAUGGCUAAAUGUACAACCAGUGCUGGUGACAAAUUUGCAAAGGAAGCGCUGGAGCUGGCCUGGUCGACGGUUGCAUGUGAUGGCUACCGUAUCUCCACGUCCGACGCCUUGUUGGCUGUCAGUGUUAUGAUCUCUCUGACAGUACUAGGAAAAUGAGACAUCAUCACACUGCUCACAAUACAUGGAUUAAGUACAUGUGUUGUAGUAUAAAUGUUGGUUGGCUGUUUUUCCGACGCAAUCAGCAAAGGAAGGUUCCAGAAAAUAAUCAAGAAUGGACGGGACUUAAAGGAUUGCAGUGAAUAUGAUACGUAUCACGAAUAUUGGGUAACAAAUGCAAUAACUCUGAUGUAUUAUUCCGCCGUGAUAUUGCUGGAAUAUUGCUAUAAGCGGCGUAAAAACAAACUCAUUCACUCUGAUGUAUUAUUCAUGUUAUUCGGAGAGACAAUAACAAAUUAUAGUCUUUGACUAUGUUGACAGUGUUACUUUAUCUCAAUAAUCCUCCCUAAUCACAUUACUGU